ensembl:lncRNA
AUGAAAACAACAAAGAUUGCUUUACUGUUUUUUGGAACUUUUGGUUUAACAACUUUAGAUAUUGUUAAAAAACAUACCUUUGCUACAGAGCCAAAACAAAACUCCUCUGAUCAAGCACCAUCAAACUCGGAAGAGAGUGCAUUAAAUACAGCAAAUACAAAACAAGAUGAAAGUAAUUUGCUAAAAACAAUACUGAAAAAAAGUUCGAAUAGUGAACAAAUAAAUACACAAAAAAACGUUGUAGCAGAACCAGUAACUACGAGUAAUGUUGAUGUUAGUAAUCAAAUAAAUCAAAAACCGCCAAGUGCUGAACAUUCAGGUAACGAUGUUACAGAUGCAAACAAAAAGAAUACAAAAAAAACUAAGUCAGAUGAGAAAGCGCAUUCGACUCCAGAAACUGAAAAGAAUCAAUCAUAUACAGAAGAAAAAAAAGUAAAAGAAAAAAAAGUUGUAAUAAGAAAAUUUGAAAAAUGGAUGGCAAAAGAAAAAGAAAUUUAUUUUAACAUGUUAAUAAAAAAAUCAUUUGAAUUAGCAACAAUAAAAGUUAUGGAAAUUAGAGAAUUUUUAACUGAUUUAAAUACACGUUGGUUAAGUUUUAAAGGAAAUAUUGAUCAAAUUGUACCAAAAGAAUUUGUAGAAAACAGUCCUUCGUGGGAUCAUACACAAUGGAUGCGGUGGAUAUCCAUAGAUGGUAGUCAUUUACUUAUGAGUCAGUUAGACAUGUGGUUGCAACUUGUCGAAGAGCAAUGGAAACAUCAGGCAAAUAUACAUUUAGAAAAUUGGGUAUCUGAAAAAGAAAAUAAUAUUAAUGCACAAUCUUGGCUACCAUGUACAAAAAAAAAAAGAUUAAAGCAGUUUUCGCAAUUUGUUAACGACAAUGAAAAAAAUUUAGAUGUUCAUGUAAAUAAUUUGUAUGUAUCUAUAAAAAAAAAAUUAGUAAGUGAAUUUAUAUUAUGGAAAGGCAUAUAUGUUUCUAAAUUUGUAAAUGAAAGAAUAUACAAUAAUUGGUUAAAAGAAAUACAAGAGUUAAAAAUAAAGAGUAAUUAAAUAUAUAUAUAUAUAUAUAUAUAUAUAUAUACAUGUUGUAUUUAUUUUCUUUUUUUUAUUGUAUUUGCUGCUAUUUUUAAAUGUAGUUGAUGUCUAUUUUUAUUUUUUUUUUUUUUCAUUUUUUCAUUCUGUUUUGAAUUGUAAAUUAUUGAAAAAACUUUAUUUUGUAUUAUGAGUUAAAAAAAAAAACAUAAAAUAGUUAAAAACAAAGAUAAAGCUAAACAUAGUUAAAAAGUUUCAAAAGUAA